AUUGAACGCUGGCGGCAUGCUUUACACAUGCAAGUCGAACGGCAGCGCGGGCUUCGGCCUGGCGGCGAGUGGCGAACGGGUGAGUAAUGCAUCGGAACGUGCCCAGGAGUGGGGGAUAGCCCGGCGAAAGCCGGAUUAAUACCGCAUACGACCUGAGGGUGAAAGCGGGGGACCGAAAGGCCUCGCGCUAUUUGAGCGGCCGAUGUCGGAUUAGCUAGUUGGUGGGGUAAAGGCUUACCAAGGCGACGAUCCGUAGCUGGUCUGAGAGGACGACCAGCCACACUGGGACUGAGACACGGCCCAGACUCCUACGGGAGGCAGCAGUGGGGAAUUUUGGACAAUGGGGGCAACCCUGAUCCAGCCAUGCCGCGUGCGGGAAGAAGGCCUUCGGGUUGUAAACCGCUUUUGUUCGGGAAGAAAUCCUCUGGGCUAAUACCCCGGGGGGAUGACGGUACCGGAAGAAUAAGCACCGGCUAACUACGUG
rnacentral:rRNA from 1 species